rnacentral:ncRNA from 1 species
ACAAUGAUACUUUCGUCUAGCCACAGACUCAAGCAAUGGGGACGACUCUGUGAGAACCACAGUUGAGGUGAAAAUCCUAUG